rnacentral:tRNA from 1 species
AUUUCUUGUGGAAGAAGGGAGCUUUCGAUAUAUUUUAAGUGGUUCACUUCUGGGAGUAGAAUUGAAGGAUAUUCGUUCCAUUCCAGUAGGAUAUA